AUUGAACGCUGGCGGCAUGCCUUACACAUGCAAGUCGAACGGCAGCACGGGAGCAAUCCUGGUGGCGAGUGGCGAACGGGUGAGUAAUACAUCGGAACGUGCCCAGUCGUGGGGGAUAACUACUCGAAAGAGUGGCUAAUACCGCAUACGACCUGAGAGUGAAAGCGGGGGAUCGCAAGACCUCGCGCGAUUGGAGCGGCCGAUGGCAGAUUAGCUAGUUGGUGGGGUAAAGGCCUACCAAGGCUACGAUCUGUAGUUGGUCUGAGAGGACGACCAGCCACACUGGGACUGAGACACGGCCCAGACUCCUACGGGAGGCAGCAGUGGGGAAUUUUGGACAAUGGGCGCAAGCCUGAUCCAGCAAUGCCGCGUGCAGGAAGAAGGCCUUCGGGUUGUAAACUGCUUUUGUCAGGGAAGAAAUCCUCUGGGUUAAUACCUCGGGGGGAUGACGGUACCUGAAGAAUAAGCACCGGCUAACUACGUGCCAGCCGCCGCCGUAACAC
rnacentral:rRNA from 1 species